GAUGAACGCUGGCGGCGUGCUUAACACAUGCAAGUCGAACGAUGAAGCCCAGCUUGCUGGGUGGAUUAGUGGCGAACGGGUGAGUAACACGUGAGUAACCUGCCCUUAACUCUGGGAUAAGCCUGGGAAACUGGGUCUAAUACCGGAUAGGAGCGUCCACCGCAUGGUGGGGGUUGGAAAGAUUUAUCGGUUUUGGAUGGACUCGCGGCCUAGCAGCUUGUUGGUGAGGUAAUGGCUCACCAAGGCGACGACGGGUAGCCGGCCUGGGAGGGGGACCGGCCACAAUGGGACUGAGACCCGGCCCAGACUCCUACGGGAGGCAGCAGUGGGGAAUAUUGAACAAUGGGCGAAAGCCUGAUGCAGCGACGCCGCGUGAGGGAUGACGGCCUUCGGGUUGUAAACCUCUUUCAGUAGGGAAGAAGCGAAAGUGACGGUACCUGCAGAAGAAGCACCGGCUAACUACGUGCCAGCAGCCGCCGUAA
rnacentral:rRNA from 1 species